rnacentral:lncRNA from 1 species
AUUCAAAUUCAAAACCAAGAGAAGUGAGAUCCCAGGGAUCGGUGCUGCGAUAGUCGCGUGAUUUCGAUUCUUAGAAUUGUAGAGUCAAUUGCGACAUAGCUACCUGCGCUGCGAGAAUCGGCUUCGGCUGGAUCUCGACAAAAGGGGCCGCAGCGGAAUCACACUGAUUCUGAGUUUUGCACAGUUCUAGCAGAGCUAAUUUCUGCUCAAUUGUGAAGCUCCCACCUAGUUCCUAUGAACAAUUCUCAAAUAGGUAGAUCCCACAUUGUAUAGCUUAGCAAAAUUGGUUUAGCACGAGGCAACAGAUUUAAAUUCACUAGUAGCUUGUACCAAGGCAAGAGAAGAAUUAGU